AUUGAACGCUGGCGGCAGGCCUAACACAUGCAAGUCGAACGAGUGGCGGACGGGUGAGUAAUGUCUGGGAAACUGCCUGAUGGAGGGGGAUAACUACUGGAAACGGUAGCUAAUACCGCAUACCAUCAGAUUUGCCCAGAUGGGAUUAGCUGGUGGGUGGGGUAACGGCUCACAAAGGCGACGAUCCCUAGCUGGUCUGAGAGGAUGACCAGCCACACGGGAACUGAGAAAGGGUCCAGCUCCUUACGGGAGGCAGCAGGGGGGAAUAUUGGACAAUGGGCGAAAGCCUGAUACAGACAGGCCGCGUGUAUGAAGAAGGCUUUCGGGUGGUAAAGUACGUUCAGCGGGGAGGCGUUACCCGCAGAAGAAGCACCGGCUAACUCCGUGCCAGCAGCCGCGGUAAUAC
rnacentral:rRNA from 1 species